rnacentral:snoRNA from 1 species
GGCACUUCUGUGUGUUUUUGUCUUAGCUUGUGGACUAAAACUUAAUGAACAGGUGCAAAAAAUAAAUCCUCUUUGCAACUCAGAACUCAUUGUUUCAUAUGAGUUUUGAUAUAUAUAGGAAGGAAUAUU